CCUGAGAGGGUGAUCGGCCACAUUGGAACUGAGACACGGUCCAAACUCCUACGGGAGGCAGCAGUGGGGAAUAUUGCACAAUGGGCGAAAGCCUGAUGCAGCAACGCCGCGUGAGUGAUGAAGGCCUUCGGGUCGUAAAACUCUGUCCUCAAGGAAGAUAAUGACGGUACUUGAGGAGGAAGCCCCGGCUAACUACGUGCCAGCAGCCGCGGUAAUACGUAGGGGGCUAGCGUUAUCCGGAUUUACUGGGCGUAAAGGGUGCGUAGGCGGUCUUUCAAGUCAGGAGUGAAAGGCUACGGCUCAACCGUAGUAAGCUCUUGAAACUGGGAGACUUGAGUGCAGGAGAGGAGAGUGGAAUUCCUAGUGUAGCGGUGAAAUGCGUAGAUAUUAGGAGGAACACCAGUUGCGAAGGCGGCUCUCUGGACUGUAACUGACGCUGAGGCACGAAAGCGUGGGGAGCAAACAGGAUUAGAUACCCUGGUAGUCCACGCUGUAAACGAUGAGUAC
rnacentral:rRNA from 1 species